rnacentral:rRNA from 1 species
UACGUAGGGUGCAAGCGUUGUCCGGAAUUAUUGGGCGUAAAGAGCUCGUAGGCGGUCUGUCGCGUCUGCUGUGAAAACUCAGGGCUUAACCCUGAGCUUGCAGUGGGUACGGGCAGACUAGAGUGCGGUAGGGGAGACUGGAAUUCCUGGUGUAGCGGUGGAAUGCGCAGAUAUCGAGGAAGAACACCCGUGGCUAAGGCGGCUCUCUAGUACGG